CUGGCUCAGGACGAACGCUGGCGGCGUGCUUAACACAUGCAAGUCGAACGAGGCAGCGGCCUUCGGGCCGUUGUCGAGUGGCGAACGGGUGAGUAACACGUGAGGAACCUGCCCCGGAGACCGGGAUAACCAGGGGAAACUCUGGCUAAUACCGGAUGCCCCCGGAUGGUCGCAUGGCCAACCGAGGAAACGCUCCGGUGCUCCGGGAGGGCCUCGCGGCCUAUCAGCUUGUUGGUGGGGUAACGGCCCACCAAGGCAUCGACGGGUAGCUGGUCUGAGAGGACGAUCAGCCACACUGGGACUGAGACACGGCCCAGACUCCUACGGGAGGCAGCAGUGGGGAAUAUUGCGCAAUGGGCGAAAGCCUGACGCAGCAACGCCGCGUGGGGGAUGACGGCCUUCGGGUUGUAAACCCCUUUCAGCAGGGACGAAAAUGACGGUACCUGCAGAAGAAGCCCCGGCCAACUACGUGCCAGCAGCCGCGGUAACACGUAGGGGGGCAAGCGUUGUCCGGAUUUAUUGGGCGUAAAGAGCUCGUAGGCGGUUGCGUAAGUCGGGAUGUGAAAACUCAGGGCUCAACCCGGAGACGCCAUCCGAUACUGCGCUGACUA
rnacentral:rRNA from 1 species